rnacentral:rRNA from 1 species
GAAUAUUGGACAAUGGGCGAAAGCCUGAUCCAGCCAUGCCGCGUGUGUGAAUAAGGUCUUCGGAUUGUAAACCACUUCAAGUUGGGAGGAAGGGCAGUACGCGAAUACCUUACUGUUUUUACGUUACCCCCAGAAUAAUCACCGGCUCACUCUGUGCAAGCAGACGCGGUAAUACAGAGGGUGCAAGCGUUAAUCGUAAUUACUGGGCGUAAAGCGCGCGUAGGGGGUUCGUUAAGUUGGAUGUGAAAUCCCCGGGCUCAACCUGGGAACUGCAUCCAAAACUGGCGAGCUAGAGUAGGGCAGAGGGUGGUGGAAUUUCCUGUGUAGCGGUGAAAUGCGUAGAUAUAGGAAGGAACACCAGUGGCGAAGGCGACCACCUGGGCUCAUACUGACACUGAGGUGCGAAAGCGUGGGGAGCAAACA